UGGGGAAUUUUGGACAAUGGGGGCAACCCUGAUCCAGCAAUGCCGCGUGUGUGAAGAAGGCCUUCGGGUUGUAAAGCACUUUUGUCCGGGAAGAAAUCGCCCCUGAUAAUACCGGGUGUGGAUGACGGUACCGGAAGAAUAAGGACCGGCUAACUACGUGCCAGCAGCCGCGGUAAUACGUAGGGUCCAAGCGUUAAUCGGAAUUACUGGGCGUAAAGCGUGCGCAGGCGGUUGUGCAAGACCGAUGUGAAAUCCCCGGGCUUAACCUGGGAAUUGGAUUGGUGACUGCUCGGCUAGAGUGUGUCAGGGGGGGGUAGAAUUCCACGUGUAGCAGGGAAAGGCGUAGGGAGGUGGAGGAAUACCGAUGGCGGAGGCAGCCCCCUGGGAUAACACUGACGCUCAUGCACGAAAGCGUGGGGAGCAAACAGG
rnacentral:rRNA from 1 species